AGACCAUCUCCCGGCGCGGGUGGAAUUCCCGCGAUCUGUCUCAUUCCCUGCGCCGCCGAGAAAAGUGAGAUCCCGCGAGACUCCCAGGAUGAAGUCUGGCUCUGUUGCCCAAGCUGGAGUGUGUUGGCACCAUCUUGGUUCACUGCAACUUCCACCUCCCAGGCUCCAGUGAUUCUCCUGCCUCAGCCUCAAGGGUAGCUGAGAUUACAGGCUGGAGUGCAGUGGCAUGAUCUCACCUCACUGAGAACCUCCACCUCCAGGGUUCAAGUGAUUCUGCUACCUCAACCUCCCAAAUAGCUGGGACUACAGGGUCUCAUUCUGUCACCCAGGUUGGAGUGCAGUGGCAACAUCAUAGCUCACUGCAGCCUUGAACCCCUGGGCUCAAGUGAUCCUCCUGCUUCAGCCUCCUGAGUAGCUGGGGCUACAGGCACUUUCCCUACAUUUUCAAAGGCCUGCAUCAUCACAUCUGCCACAGCAUUCUCUAUCAUUGAGGCAUUUUCUCAGGAAAUCACCUGUGAAAUAUUUUGCAGCUAACCACCUACCUGUGCCCCACCAGCCAACAUGCUUUACUCCUGCCAGGCAGGUGAGUGGUCCCCAGAUCCCUAUUUUACCACUUGUUUUGUCAGACUGUUCUUGGUAUCAGCUGUGUUGGAGGGAGUUCUCUGCAAAGACCAAUAUGGGACUGCAUAUACAGAGAUUUUAUUUCCAGAUAUGACUGUGAGAGAAUGAUGAGGGGAGCAGUUACUUAGUCUAUUUGAGCUGUUAUAAUAAAAUACCACUGACUAGGAAAUGUAUAAAGAGGACUUUAUUUUCCCAGAGUUCUGGAGGCUGGGAAGUUCAACAUCAAAACAUCAGUAGGUGCAGUUGUCUGUUGAGGGCUCAUGUCUGUUUCCAAGAUGAUGCCUUCAUGCUGCAUCUUUUGGAAGGGAGGAGCAUUGUGUCCUCACAGAGCAGAAAAUAGAAGGGCCACAGGACAAACUCCCUCUAUCAAGCCUUUUCAUAAGGGCACCUGAUCCCAUUCGCAAAGCUCUAUCUUCGUGACUUGACUUAAUCACUUCCCAAAGGUCCCACCUCCUAAUACUUACACUGUUUCAACAGUAAACAGUUUAUGUAGAGUUUCAACAUAAAUUAAGGAGGGGACAAAACAUCCAAACCAAGGAAGGCUGGGAGGGAAGCCAGAGGGAAAGUGCAAGAGGAGGUUUGGUGGAGGUGUCCUAGAUUGUUUGCAGUCCAAGGAGGUUGGGGAGAGUGUAACAGGCCUGCCUUGGUAUCCCUGCUCUGCAGUCACUGGCUAAGAGCAGUCCUUAGAAAGCACAGCCUGGCACAAAUACAACAAGAAUAUGUGCUCAGUAGGAAAGAGACCACAUUUCCCCAAUAGCCCAGGUAAUGCCCUCCCCUCAACUGGCAUCUCUGUUCCCUAAACAUUGACCUCUUUUCUCUGAAUCUCUUGGGGACACAUGGGUUGAAUUCAGGUUCUCUGUAGCCCUCUGGAUUCUGUCUGCCUCUGUUAUAUCUUCACGAACAAGUUAUGCAGCCUCAACUAAAGCUUGUAACAAAGCAAAGUUACUCUCCUGAGUGUGUCCUCUGAUGGAUGGUGAGAUAUAACUUCAAGAUGAAGCCUCACCCACACUCCCUGUACAAAAACGCUUCUCACCUGUGUCACUCUGGAAGCUUUGAUCAGAAAAUUGUAGUUGCUGUUGCCUCUGAUGUGCAAGUCCAAGAUUCUUGGGCCGCAGGACAUGUUCUGCAUAUAUUCCUGGAGAAUAGACCAACAAUGAGACUGAAUCAGUAACGAAAAGUCUUCUAUGAAAGAAAAACCCAGAACCAUAUUGCUUUACUGCUUAAUUCUAAUAAACUCAUAAAGAACAACAAACACCAAUUCUUCUCAAACUAUUCCAAAAAAUUGAAGCAGGGCAGGGAGGAAUUCUUCCUAACUCAUUCUAAAAGGCCAGCAUUAUCCUGAUACCAAAACCAGACAAGGACACAGCAAAAACAGAGAACUACAGGCCAAUAUCCCUGAUGAUGCUAAAUGGAAAAAUCCUCAACAAAAUACUAGCAAAACCAAUGCAACAACACAGAAAAGAUAAUACACCAUGAUCAAAUGAGAUUUAUCCCAAGUAUGCAAUCAUGAUUCAACAUACACAAAUCAAUACUUGUGAUACAUCACAUCAACAGAGUGAAGGACCAAAAGACAUAUGAUCAUCUCAACAGAUACAGAAAAAGAUUUGAUAUGAUUCAAAAUCCCAUUAUGAUAAAAACUUUUUUUUUUUGAGACAGGGUCUCACUCUGUCACCCAGGCUGGAGUGCAGUGGCAUGAUCAUGGCUCACUGCAGCCUCGACCUCCCAGGCUUACACGAUCCUCCCACCUCAACUUUCCAAAUAGCUAGACUACAGGUGCCUGCCUGUAGUCAAGCCAUAGGUGCCAUUGCCUGGCUAAUUUUUAUAUUUUUUGUAGAGAUGGGAUUUCGCCAUGUUGUCCAGGCUGGUCUCAAAUUCUUGAGCUCAAGCAAUCUGCCCAUCUUGCCCUCCCAAAGUGAUGAGAUUAAAGGCAUAAGCCACCGCACCCAGCCUAUGAUAAAAACUUAAAUCAGGUGUACAGGAAACAUAUCUCAACAUAAUAUAGACAAUAUGUUCCAAACCCACAGCAAACAUCUUAGUGAAUGGGGAAAAGAUAAAAGUCUUUCCUCUAAGAACUGGAAGAAGAUUCGAAUGUCUACUUUCACCACUCUUAUUACCAUAGUUCAGGGAGUCCUAGUCAGAACUAUGGUAAGAGAAAAAAAUAAGGCAAGAAAAGGAAAUAAAAGGCAUCCAAGCUGGAAAACUGAAGUCAAAUUGUCUCUUUUUGCAGAUGACAUGAUCGUACCUAUAGAAAACCUAAACACUCUUCGAACUGAUGAAUGAUGUCAAUAAAGUUGCACAAUAUGAAAUCAGAAAAAAAAAUCAGUAGUGUUUCUAUAUGCCAAUAAUAACUAGGUGAAAAAGAAAUCAAGAAAGCAAUCCCAUUUAUAAUUGGUACAAAAAAGUAUAUGAAUAAACAACCCCAAAUUAAAUGUUCUCUAUGAUAAAAACAAUGAAAUAAAUAGACGAGGACACAAACAAAUGAAAAGACAUCUUAUGUUCAUGGAGCAAAAUAAUACUGUUGAGAUGACCAUACUGCCCAAAGCAAUCUACAGAUUCACUGCAAUACCUAUUAAAAUACCAGUGAUAUUCUUUAUAAAAAUAGACAAAAUACUCCUAGAAUUCAUAAGGAACCAAAAAGACCUCCAAUAGGCAAUAGUGAGCAUAAAGUACAAAGUGGGAGGCAUCAUACUACCUCACUUCAAAAUAUAAUACAAAGCUAGUGUCAUCAAAGCAGCAUGGUAUUGGUCUAAAAAUAGACACUGGCCAGGCACAGUGGCUCACACCUGUAAUCCCAGUGCUCUGAGAGACUGUGGCAGGCGGAUUGCUUGAGGCUAGGAGUUCGAGUCCAGCCUGGGCAACACGAUGAGACCCCAUCAUUACAAAAGGUUAAAAAAAAAAUUAGCUGGGCAUGGUGGCACAUGCCUAUAGUCCUAGCUACUUGAGACACGAGGAUCACUUAAGCCCAGGAGUUAGAGGCUGCAGUGAGCUGUGAUGGCACCACUGCACUCCUGCCUGGGUGGACAGAGCAAGACCCUGUCCAUAGAAACAAAAACAAAAAUGAAAUACACAUAGACCAAUAAAAGAGAAUAGAUAAUCUACAAAUAAAUCCAUAUAUUUAUAGCCAACUGAUUUUUGACAAAGGCACUAAAAACAUACCUUAGGGUAAGGACAGAAUCUUCAAUAAAUGGUAUUAGAAAAAGUGAAUUCCAAAAUGAGUAAGAAUGAAGUUAGAUGUUUGUUUCUCAUACUAUACAAAAAUAAACUCAAAAUAGAUUAAAGACUUAAACAUGAGUUCCACAAUUAUAAAACAACUUGAAGAAACACAGGAGAAAUGCUUUAGGACACUGGCCUAAACUAGCCAUAUUUUAUGGCUAAGACUUCAAAAUCACAAGCAACAAAAGCAAAAAUACACACAUGAGACUACAUUAAACUAAAAACUAAAAAGCUUCUGUACAGCAAAGGAAAGUAUCAACAGUGAAGAUACAAAAUGUAGAAUGGGAGGAAAUAUCUGCAAAGUAUUCAUCUUACAAGGGACUAAUAUACAGAAUAUACAAGAAGUCAAAAAACAACAACAAAAAAUCCAACUAAAAAGUGGGAAAAGGAUCUGAAUAGACAUUUCUCAAAAUAAGACAUACAAAUGGGCAACAGGUAUACGAAAAAAUGCUCAUCAUCACCAAUCAUCAGGGAAAUGCAAAUCACACUGAGAGAUCCUCUUACCACAAUUAGGAUGGCUAUUAUCAAAAAGAGAAAAAAUAACAAAUAAUGGCAAAGAUGCAGAAAAAAGGCAAUAAUUAUACACUCUUGGUGUAUAAUUAGUACAGCCAUUAUGGAAAAUGGUAUGGAGGUUCCUUAAAAAACUACAAAUAGAACUACGAUACAAUCCAGCAAUCCCACUACUUCAUAUUUAUCCAAAGAAAAGGAAAUCAGUAUGGCAAAAGGAUACCUGUACCCCCAUGUUAACAUUAUUCACAAUAGUCUAGAUAUGGAAUUAACCUAAAUGUCCAUCAAUGGUUGAAUGGAUAAAGAAAAUGUAGUACAUAUAUAUAAUGGAAUGUUAGUCAACCAUAAAGAAGAAUAAGAAUACUGCUGUCAUUUACAGCAGUAUCAUUAGAAUCAUUAUCAUUAACUAAUGAUAUAAUCAGUAUCAUUAGUUCAUUAUGUUAGGUGAAAUAAGCCAGGCACAGAAAGCCAAAUAUUGCAUAUUGUCACUCAUAUGUGGGAGCAGAGGCUAGGAAAGGGAGAGGGAAGGGAGAACGAAGAGCAGUUGAUUAUGGGUACAAAAAUAUAGUUAGAAGAAAUAAGUGUUUGAUAGCACAGUAGCGUGACUAUAGUUUAACUGUAAUUUAUAUUUCAAAAUAGAAAAAAAUGGAGUAUACAGAGAAAUGAUAAAUAUUUGAGGUUAUGGAUCCUGAUUUGAUCAUUACAUAUGGUAUGCAUAUAUCAAAAUACCACAUCUACUCCAUAAAUAAUGUACAAUUAUUAUGUAUCAACAAAUAAGAAAAUAAUCCCCCCAAAACUAAUACAAAAUAGUAGGCAUCUACAAAGGGGAGAUAUUUAUAUAUAAAUGGAGAAUAAUAAAGAAUUAUCUUUUUUAAUACAUUAAAAUGAAUAUUCAUAUUAAGAAAGGAAAAACUAAAGUGAAAAGAGAAAUAGCAAACUGAUAGAAAGUACUGCUGGUACUAUGACAGUCAAUGUGCUUAUUAUUCAGGAAAAAUACUCCAAAACUUGUCAGAUAUAUGAUUAUAUGACCUUUCCUACAUCAUCUGUAUAAUUUUUAAUUUUUCUGAUCACUCGGAUAAUGACAGUUAAGUUUGCUGAUUCUGUAAAGUUACAGGGUAACUUACAAUGGUGUUAUUUUGGCACUAUCCACAUACAUCCCACCUUCUCAUACCUGCACUGAACCAGCUUUGUCAUCCUGCCAGUAACCUCACUUAUGAGUUAAAUAAAAUCCUAACAUAUGCUCCCAUUACAUUAAACAUUCACACUUUCAGAAGUCAGUGGUAGACAAGAAGCCUUUUAUUUUAAUUCACUGACAGACAAAUCAGCAAGCAAUUGAUAUGGGGGCGAGAGAAGGGAGUUGAUAAUGGGCUGAACAUUAGCAUCCCCCCCAAAUUCAUAUGUUGAUGCCUUAACCCCCAAUGUGAUGGUAUUUGGAGGUGGAGUUGUUGGGAGAUAAACAGGUUUAGUUGAGAUCGUGGGGUGAGCCCAUGAGAGGACACAGUAAGGAGGCGGCAGCCUGUGAGCCAGGAUGGGGACCCUCACAAUGAAGCAAAGGUGCCAGCACCUUCAUCUUGGAAUUCCCAGAUUCUAGAACUGUACGAAAUAAAUGUCUGUUGUUUAAGCCUCCCAGUCUAUGAUAUUUCGUCAUUUCUACGAUACUCAAGAUGACAGAGGAGUCCCUUCCCACCUAUGUAAACUGAGGGAGUGGCCCCGAUCCAAAAGCAGAGACCUUAUGCACGUGAAAACUCAGGCCAGCUCCAAAUUUCUCAGUGGAUGCCCCCACAUUUUUUAUGGGGUGGUGGGAAGCAAGGAAUGGGAAAGAACUCCACAGUCUGUAUGAACCUGCUUUUUUUGCAGACAAUAGGACAAAGUCAACAACAAUAACCAUAAAAAAAAAUCAACCUGCUAAUUUUCUGAUAGAGAGUAUACUGUGUAAUUCCACUUACAUGAAGUUCUAAGAUGGGUGAAAUUAAGGCAUAUUGAACAAAAUCCGAAUAGUGAUUUUCUCUGGUGGACGUGGGGGCAGGAAAUGACUGGAAAAAGGCACAAAAGCACUUCUGGGGUGAGAGUAAUUCUUUUGUGUUGUCAUAGGGGUCCAGAUUACACAAAGUUAUGCAUAUGUCAAAGCUCACUGAAUGUUACACUUAAGAUUUAUGCAUCUUAUAUAAAUCCUAAAAAGAACCACAAAGAAACAUUAUAAUACUACUUAUUGAUAUGCAUGCUGAAGUGUUUAUGCGUAAAGGAUAAUGAUGUCCACAAUAUUAAAGAGCAUCAAAAGGAAGAUGGACUUAUGGAUGGAGAGAGCAAUGCACAGCUGGGUAAGUAAGCGAUAAAGAAUACGGAGCACAAAGCUAAAUGCUGACUGUAGGUGGCAGAUCGACAGGUGUUCAUUCUAUAAGCCUUUCAACUUUUUAGUAUCCACCAAAAUAUAAUUGUUCAACAUUUGCUUCACAAAAAAAUGCUGGAGGAAAGGAAGUAUUAUAGGAUGUAAACUCAAAAUAUAUAUGCCAUGAAAUAAGGAAAGUUAAAUGAGGGUUACAGUCACCAAAAAAAAUCUUAGGAACUAAUAUUAAUAUUAAACGAAAUAGAUUAUAAUACAGUAACUAUUAUUAGGUUUUACAGAUGAAAUAUGAUGACCAGGAUUUGCUUCAAAAUAAUCCAGGAAUGGGAGAUGAGGGUGAAAGUACAGAGGACACAAGAUUCCCUGUGAGCCAAUAAAAUUAUAAUAAUUCUAACCCUGCAUGUAUUUAAUAGUAGGCUAAAAUAUAUAAAGUCCUACAAAACUUAGUAGAUAUGGAACAAUCCACUAUGAAUAUAGAAGAUGUAAAAAUCAUCUUUUCAAGUAUUGGAUAGUUCAAACUGCCCUCCCAAAAAAAACUAUAAAGCCACAGAAGAGUUAAAUAACAACAACAAAAAUCUUUAUAUAUUGGCCAAGCAUGGUGGCUUAUGUCUGUAAUCCCAGCACUUUGGGAGGCUGAGGCAGGAGGAUCACCUGAGGUCAGGAGUUCAAAACCAGCCUGGCCAACAUGGUGAAACCUCUCUCUACUAAAAAUACAAAAAAAAUUAGCCAGGCAUGGUGGUGAGGACAUGUAGUCCCAGCUACUCAAGAGGCUAAGACAGGAGAAUUGCUUGAACCUGGGAGGUGGAGGUUCCAAGGAGCCAAGAUCGCGCCAUUGCACUCCAGCCUGGGCUACAAGAGUGAAACUCCGACUCAAAAAAAAAAAAACUUUAUAUCUUUAAAUCUUUGUAUCUUUAUAAACUUGAUCUAGGAAGGGUUUCUUAAACAAGACAUAAAAGAGACUUCCAAGUACUCGAGGAGAACUGCAGCUGUGUAAGGCUAAAUCUGUCCACACAUUCUCCAAAUAGGAUAUAAAGGUCAAUAGAAACAGAUGACCCCUGAAACUGACACAUAACAAGAUAGAGAAAACUAAAUUUAUCAUUGUCAUAAGCAGAAAACUUAACACCACUUUUCAGCAGUCUCCUGUGGUCCCACUGUGAGGAGUGAGGAAAGCCAGUAAAACAGCAUGAAAAGAGAAGAGAGGAACACAGGGCCUAACUGUGAACUAAAACUGCUCCAAGAGAGAACAAGUCCACCCUAGAGGUAAGAAUCAUCAUCAUCAUCAUCAUCAUCAUCAUCAUCAUCAUCAUGAGUCCUGAUGAACCACUGCGGUGACUACAGGGACUUAAGAGGGUGCACAAUUCUAGACCACAGCCCCACUCAGGCAGUACAUCUGGGGGAAAUGGGGGAAGGAGGAAGGUGAAGUGACCUCUGGCAACAGUAGUACUGCUUAAAACAUUAAACGACAAGGAAAAAAAGCUAUGGGAAUUGAAGAAGGAGAAUAACGGACAGAGGUUUUAAGAAGCUAAAAUAGAACUUAAACAAAUUUACAAGAAAAAAAAAAACCCCAUCAAAAAAUGGGCAAAGGAUAUGAACAGACACUCCUCAAAAGAAGACAUUUAUGCAGCCAACAAACUUAGAAAAAAUGCUCAUCAUCACUGGCCAUCAGAGAAAUGCAAAUCAAAACCACAAUGAGAUACCAUCUCAUACCAGUUAGAAUGGCAAUCAUUAAAAAGGAAACAACAGGUGCUGGAGAGGAUGUGGAGAAAUAGGAACACUUUUACACUGUUGGUGGGACUGUAAACUAGUUCAACCAUUGUGGAAGUCAGUGUGGCGAUUCCUCAGGGAUCUAGAACUAGAAAUACCAUUUGACUCAGCCAUCCCAUUACCAGGUAUAUACCCAAAGGAAUAUAAAUCAUGCUGCUAUAAAGACACAUGCACACGUAUGUUUAUUGCAGCACUAUACACAAUAGCAAAGACUUGGAACCAACCCAAAUGUCCAACAAUGAUAGACUGGAUUAAGAAAAUGUGGCACAUAUACACCAUGGAAUACUAUGCAGCCGUAAAAAAUGAUGGGUUCAUGUCCUUUACAGGGACAUGGAUGAAGUUGGAAACCAUCAUUCUCAGCAAACUAUCUCAAGGACAAAUAACCAAACACCGCAUGUUCUCACUCAUAGAUGGGAAUUGAACAAUGAGAACACAUGGACACAGGAAGGGGAACAUCACACUCUGGGGACUGUUG
rnacentral:lncRNA from 1 species